AAGAGCCUAGGCAGAACUGAACAGGGAUAGGUAGGUGCAUUGUAAAAUAUGGUUUCGAGAGACUGUGAGACCAUCGUGAGACUGUGUGUUUCCUCUCAACAAAACUGAGAGUUGUGAACGUGUGGAUCCUGGGGGGAGAAGGGGACAGGGCUUGGCAGUGCGGGGGAGGGGGCGCGGAAUCCAGGAAGUUGGCGAGAAUUCUUCUUUUUUCAUUCUUCGUUGUAAAUUGCUGCUUAACACUUCUGAAUUUUAAAUUGCUACUGAGAAGGUCCAUAAACCGUUCUCGUCCAAUUUAGUCACUUUUAUUACAUUCCUCUUUGCCUCCCCCAAUCACUGCAGCGGCUCCCAGUUUCAGCGUGGCUGCAUUUCGGACAGGCUGAAAGUAGAAAACUCUGGAAUGGAGAGAUUGAUGACUGGAGCAGGAUCCAGGGGCUUUAAAUUUUAACCUGAGUUCGAUCGAAUGCAACUUACCAAAAGAGAUUGCUCGGCGUCCACGGGCCACUCAACUCCCUCCAGGGCUUCGAAUGCUUUGCUUUUGGUUCUUUCUACAAGGGUGUCCGUGUGGAUUUCCUUGGACAAUAACUAACCCUCCAGAGAACUGCUUUUCCCGAAGCCCCGCAGCCACGUUGGAAGGGCGCGAUGGCGCGGGCCGCUGGGACAGAGCAUUAAUUCAGACAGAAAACCAGGCUGCCUGCCCCCUCCAGUUUGCCGUUUUCCCAUCGCGUGGCGUUUGUUGUUCGGAACAAUACCUUGGGAAAGAGCACGGUUUGAAAGCCACCCCCCACGGGCCCCGGACCCCGCGCGCUGAGCUUCCUCGGUGCGUCCCAGCUGGUCUGGAGAGCCAGACAGGAUAGGGGGUGCGGAGUGAAGAGGCGCACCCUGAACUGAGGAGACACCCAAGAGCUGGAGAAGGCCCACAAUGCCCCAAGUAGACAGGCAGGUUCUUACAAGUUCUUGUUUUCUUCCUGUCCCCCCCCCCUUAAUUAAACUUUAUUUAUUUGU